rnacentral:rRNA from 1 species
AUUGAACGCUGGCGGCAUGCUUUACACAUGCAAGUCGAACGGUAACAGGCCGCAAGGUGCUGACGAGUGGCGAACGGGUGAGUAAUGCAUCGGAACGUGCCCAGUCGUGGGGGAUAACUACUCGAAAGAGUAGCUAAUACCGCAUACGAUCUAUGGAUGAAAGCGGGGGACCGUAAGGCCUCGCGCGAUUGGAGCGGCCGAUGUCAGAUUAGGUAGUUGGUGGGGUAAAGGCUCACCAAGCCAACGAUCUGUAGCUGGUCUGAGAGGACGACCAGCCACACUGGGACUGAGACACGGCCCAGACUCCUACGGGAGGCAGCAGUGGGGAAUUUUGGACAAUGGGCGCAAGCCUGAUCCAGCAAUGCCGCGUGCAGGAAGAUGGCCUUCGGGUUGUAAACUGCUUUUGUACGGAACGAAACGGCUCUGGUUAAUACCCGGGGCUAAUGACGGUACCGUAAGAAUAAGCACCGGCUAACUACGUG